UUCACAGUCAAACUUGGUUUUAACAUAUCCUAUUCUAGCAGUUACACUGCUAUGCAUAUGGCCUUUUGUGUCUCAUUUCACUCAAUGAUGCAGCCAUAUGACCUAACCCAGAAUCACAUGAGCAAAAAAAAGGACACCUCUACGGAAGAAUUGUCUAAAUUAGAGUAGUCAGUGAUCGCGUCAAUGAGGCACUAUUUUUUUAAAAGAUUUUAUUUAUUUUAUGUAUAUGAGUACACUAUAGCUAUCCUCAGACACACCAGAAGAGGGUGUCAGAUCCCAUUACAGAAGGUCGUGAGCCAGCAUGUGGUUGCUGGGAAUUGAAAUCAGGACCUCUAGAAGAGCAGUCAGUACUCUUAAUUGCUGAGCCAUCUCUCCAGCCCCUGACAAAUGAGGGACCAUUUCCCUGUGAGUGCUGCCAUCCUUAGGCAAGGGAGCAAGUCAGAGGGAACCAAUGUGUAAGUAGUGUUCCUGCCUUAAAAUCCAGCCUGCUUUUCUUGAUGAUGGAGCC
rnacentral:lncRNA from 1 species